rnacentral:rRNA from 1 species
AACGCUAGCUACAGGCUUAACACAUGCAAGUCGAGGGGCAGCAUGGUCUUAGCUUGCUAAGGCCGAUGGCGACCGGCGCACGGGUGAGUAACGCGUAUCCAACCUGCCUUACACUCUUGGACAGCCUUCUGAAAGGGAGAUUAAUACAAGAUGUUAUCAUGAGUAAGCAUUUUCGCAUGAUUAAAGGUUUACCGGUGUAAGAUGGGGAUGCGUUCCAUUAGAUAGUAGGCGGGGUAACGGCCCACCUAGUCUUCGAUGGAUAGGGGUUCUGAGAGGAAGGUCCCCCACAUUGGAACUGAGACACGGUCCAAACUCCUACGGGAGGCAGCAGUGAGGAAUAUUGGUCAAUGGACGAGAGUCUGAACCAGCCAAGUAGCGUGAAGGAUGACUGCCCUAUGGGUUGUAAACUUCUUUUAUACGGGAAUAAAGUGAGGCACGUGUGCCUUUUUGUAUGUACCGUAUGAAUAAGGAUCGGCUAACUCCGUGCCAGCAGCCGCGGUAAUACGGAGGAUCCGAGCGUUAUCCGGAUUUAUUGGGUUUAAAGGGAGCGUAGGCGGACGCUUAAGUCAGUUGUGAAAGUUUGCGGCUCAACCGUAAAAUUGCAGUUGAUACUGGGUGUCUUGAGUACAGUAGAGGCAGGCGGAAUUCGUGGUGUAGCGGUGAAAUGCUUAGAUAUCACGAAGAACUCCGAUUG